rnacentral:rRNA from 1 species
AGUGAACGCUGGCGGUAGGCCUAACACAUGCAAGUCGAACGGCAGCACAGUAAGAGCUUGCUCUUACGGGUGGCGAGUGGCGGACGGGUGAGGAAUACAUCGGAAUCUACUUUUUCGUGGGGGAUAACGUAGGGAAACUUACGCUAAUACCGCAUACGACCUACGGGUGAAAGCAGGGGAUCUUCGGACCUUGCGCGAUUGAAUGAGCCGAUGUCGGAUUAGCUUGUUGGCGGGGUAAAGGCCCACCAAGGCGACGAUCUGUAGCUGGUCUGAGAGGAUGAUCAGCCACACUGGAACUGAGACACGGUCCAGACUCCUACGGGAGGCAGCAGUGGGGAAUAUUGGACAAUGGGCGCAAGCCUGAUCCAGCCAUACCGCGUGGGUGAAGAAGGCCUUCGGGUUGUAAAGCCCUUUUGUUGGGAAAGAAAAGCAGCAGGUUAAUACCCCGCUGUUCUGACGGUACCCAAAGAAUAAGCACCGGCUAACUUCGUG